UACAGAGGGUGCGAGCGUUGUCCGGAAUCACUGGGCGUAAAGGGCGCGUAGGCGGCCUGGUAAGCGUGCGGUGAAAGCCCGGGGCUCAACUCCGGAAUUGCCUUUAAAACUGCAUCGCUAGAAUUGUGGAGAGGUAAGUGGAAUUCCGAGUGUAGAGGUGAAAUUCGUAGAUAUUCGGAAGAACACCAGUGGCGAAGGCGACUUACUGGACACAUAUUGACGCUGAGGUGCGAAAGCGUGGGGAGCAAUCAGG
rnacentral:rRNA from 1 species